UGACGGUCACAUCACGUUGAAACACCUCUUCUUGUAUGAUCACCAAAGUUAAGCAUAGUCGAAUCUGGUUAUUAACGAGAUGGGUGACCAUUUGCGAAUACCAGGUGCUGUAA